UUUCUGUCAUUCAUUCAGGUCUCAUCAUCAACAAAGUUACCUUGAUUCCACAAUUUCUAAGACAAGAACAUACGAAAAACUCAAGGUAAUGGCCUUCGAAAACUUGACAUAAUAAAUUUUUAACGGCCCACCCGUUAGAAAACGUUCCAUUUAUCACAUGACUUUCUCAGUUGGCCAUUAUAUUUAACACUUCAGUAGUAUCUGACACUCCAUCUAACAAGGUCAAAAGCUUCAUGAACAUUGUUUUAGAAGCUGCCUACGGAGACAAACCCUGUGAAACCCGAGGAUGCCACACCAACAACGGAAUGCAGCUCACUGUGACGUGGCCCACCGCUCUGCAAAGUCAAAAUCGCAGUUCACUUUACGCUGACAGAGCAUCUUUCCACGACUUUUCCCUCCCCCCCACGAGAACGGGGGGAGUGUCGGUUUCCCAAGGUGUCUGGGGCUACUUUCUUUAAAACGAGGAUUUAAUGUUUCCUGAAGGUCACCUUGGUACGCCCCUGGCUCAUGCCCCCCGGCUCCUCUGGACGGGAGCCUACGGUUUUGUGGCAUCAGCUCUGGCUCCUCAUCCGGUGACCUUCAGGCCCCUGUGGCUGGGCUGACCCUAGAACGGCCACAGCCCCUCACACCACGUAGGGCACAGUCCCUCCCACCGCCAAGCCGAAUUCGGAAGGGGGUGUCCCGGGAAGCCCCCCCCAACAAGCGCUGAUGGUGACACCGGCCAUGCCCGGGGGGCCCCCGAGUUCGGAAACGCUGAGCGAUGGCGCCACAUGGCCACUGAGAACUGGGCCCCGACGGCUCGGGCCCCGCGCCUGUUCAGACCUCAGCCCACACCGCACCCUGGGAGAACGUUCCAGAACCCUGGACUCUCCGGGAAGUCCCGAGUCGCCGAACAGACGGAAACGGGGGCUCGUUCACUGAGCGCCUGCUCGGAGGCUGGGCGAGCGCGGGGCCGGGCUUGCACGCGGGAGACCCUCGGAGCGCUGCGCCGCGGGGGCGCCCGCGCUCCACCCUCCGGCCGGACCCUCGGCUUCCAGGAGGCCCUCCGGCGGGGCGAGCAGGGACGGAGAGAGCCGCCCCCCCAGCCCACCUACUCCCCUCGGCCGCUUUUACCUCGCCCGACCCCACCGAAACCGCCGAGCUAAACUUAGAAACCGGCGCGGCGCGCGCUCACGUGCGCUCCGCCGCGGGCGGGGGGCGCGGCCCGGGUGAGUCACGGCCCCGCCCCCACUCGCCGAGGACGCGGUGACGUCAGCCGUUUCCCCGAAGGGUGACGUCAGCGCGCCUCGCGGAGGCCGCGAGGCUCCCGUAGAACGUUCACUGAGUUUCGAUGCCUUAAAGGGACCAGGCGUCGGAUCGUGAAAGAUCUGGGGCGAUGACUCCACUCACCCAACCGUGGGGUCAGAGCCCAUCUUCUAGCCCUUUGCACUGAGAAGUGUUGGCUGUUGAGAUGGUGAUGAAAAAAAAGGAGUGCAACUGAGCCUCGUUAAAGCUGCUGGAAGCCCCAGAACCUCCUCCUGGAAGUCCUCCUUGAUUAGUCAGAAUCUGAUCUUGACCCAAAGGUCAGGGAGUUUUCCAUGGCCCUCGACUGCCAACCCCUUCACUUACAAUCCCUCCUCAUAGUCUUCUAUGCCUGCUGGCAGAGAAAAGCUGUGGUUUGAGUGUUUAUUUAAUAAUCCAUCAGUUGGGCCAGGUUGGCCCAUUUAUCACUGUUUUCGACUGCGUCCAAACCUUUGUUGGUCACGUGGCCUGUAACAUGUUAUUUACCUCUGGGUGUGAAAUUGGUGGACCGAUCUCCAAACCGUCCUCCGACGCUACUGUUGCCGUGGAAGCUUCUGGGACAAGAACCCUGUACAGCACUUGGUCAUUCAACACUAUCACAGCCUCCCAGGGA
rnacentral:lncRNA from 1 species